rnacentral:rRNA from 1 species
GAUGAACGCUGGCGGCGUGCCUAAUACAUGCAAGUCGAGCGGUAACACUUCGGGUGACGAGCGGCGGACGGCUGAGUAACACGUAGGAACGUACCCCAAACUGAGGGAUAAGCACCGGAAACGGUGUCUAAUACCGCAUGUGGUCUUCGGAUUAAAGCUUCGGCGGUUUGGGAACGGCCUGCGCAUGAUUAGCUUGUUGGUGAGGUAAAAGCUCACCAAGGCGACGAUCAUUAGCUGGUCUGAGAGGAUGAUCAGCCAGACUGGGACUGAGACACGGCCCAGACUCCUACGGGAGGCAGCAGUAGGGAAUUUUCCACAAUGGGCGAAAGCCUGAUGGAGCAACGCCGCGUGCAGGAUGAAUGCCUUCGGGUUGUAAACUGCUUUUAUUGGUGACGAUUAUGACGGUAGCCAAUGAAUAAGGAUCGGCUAACUCCGUGCCAGCAGCCGCGGUAA